GUGCUUGUUUGGCAGCACAUGUACUAAAAUACAGAGGAGAUUAGCAUGGCCCCUGUGCAAGGAUGGCAUGCAAAUUUGUGAAGUGUUCUAAAUUAAU
rnacentral:snRNA from 1 species